rnacentral:lncRNA from 1 species
UGUUUUUUUUUUUACCUUAACUUUUGCCUAGUAGCCGCCCUUUCGGGUUUUCGACUCUAGCAGGCUCUUUGCCCUAACUUUUGCCUAGACCGCCCUUUCGGGUUUUCAGCCUAGCGAGCUCAAUUCUUGCCUGAAGCCGCCCUUUCGGGUUUUCAACUCCAGCUUUUAUUUUUCUUUUCUUCUCUUUUCUUUAUUAUUUUUAUUAUUAUAU